rnacentral:rRNA from 3 species
CCUGGCGGCACUAGCGCGGUGGUCCCACCUGACCCCAUGCCGAACUCAGAAGUGAAACGCCGUAGCGCCGAUGGUAGUGUGGGGUCUCCCCGUGCGAGAGUAGGGAACUGCCAGGC